CUUCUCGGUCUCUCCGCUCUGCCCGUGACCUUCUCCUGUCCGCUGCUCGCACCCAUACGGCCAACUCACGCUUGCAGGACUUCUCGCGGGCGGCUCCCUUCCUAUGGAAUAGCCUGCCUACCGCCAUUAGACUCUCCCCUAGUCUUCAAUAGUUUAAGAAGUGCCUUAAAACCCAUCUCUUUAGGAAAGCUUAUGGCCUCCCAGUAACCUCUACCUCUACAUACCUGUCUCUCUCUCUCCUAAAGGUCCGAAUUUUACUCUCUCCUCCAGCUCUGCUUCACUUCCACCUUGCUUGAUUGCUAUUUCCUGUCCUAAUGUGUUUUAUACCCCACCUCCUGUAGACUGUAAGCUCGUUUGAGCAGGGUCCUCUUCAACCUAUUGUUCCUGUAAGUUUUCUUGUAAUUGUCCUAUUUAUAGUUAAAUUCCCCCCUCUCAUAAUAUUGUAAACUGGUACGGAAUCU